CUUACACAUGCAAGUCGAACGGUAACAGGUCUUCGGAUGCUGACGAGUGGCGAACGGGUGAGUAAUACAUCGGAACGUGCCCGAGAGUGGGGGAUAACGAGGCGAAAGCUUUGCUAAUACCGCAUACGAUCUAAGGAUGAAAGCAGGGGACCGCAAGGCCUUGCGCGUUUGGAGCGGCCGAUGGCAGAUUAGGUAGUUGGUGGGAUAAAAGCUUACCAAGCCGACGAUCUGUAGCUGGUCUGAGAGGACGACCAGCCACACUGGGACUGAGACACGGCCCAGACUCCUACGGGAGGCAGCAGUGGGGAAUUUUGGACAAUGGGCGAAAGCCUGAUCCAGCAAUGCCGCGUGCAGGACGAAGGCCUUCGGGUUGUAAACUGCUUUUGUACGGAACGAAAAGACACUGGCUAAUACCUGGUGUUGGUGACGGUACCGUAAGAAUAAGCACCGGCUAACUACGUGCCAGCAGCCGCGGUAAUACGUAGGGUGCGAGCGUUAAUCGGAAUUACUGGGCGUAAAGCGUGCGUAGGCGGUUAUUUAAGUCAGAUGUGAAAGCCCCGGGCUCAACUUGGGAACGGCAUUUGAUACUGAGUAACUCGAGUUUGGGAGAGGUAAGUGGAAUUUCAGGUGUAGCGGUGAAAUGCGUAGAUAUCUGAAGGAACACCAGUGGCGAAGGCGACUUACUGGCCUAAAACUGACGCUGAGGCACGAAAGCAUGGGUAGCAAACAGGAUUAGAUACCCUGGUAGUCC
rnacentral:rRNA from 1 species